GAUGCGUCCCUUUCUGGCCGCAAUUUUUGGCAGGCUGGCGUGUUGACUUUAUCACCUCGGGAUCACUCGGGUUUCGGACGCGUAGCCGCGGGCUUCCGCUUGCGCAUGCGCACAGCCCCGCUUGUGGCUCGCCAAGACCAGGCCGCAGGCGCAGUCCCGAGAGUGCUCUAGGAACAGCUCCUGGCGGUCUUCCGCCUUGGACCCCAGCCUUCAACUUCCCAUCCCUGCUGCUUAAUCAGCCUUCACCAAACGUCAUUUUAGCUAUAUCUGCUUAACAUUCCUGGAAGUCAGAAGUCUUUGCACAGCAGAUAGAACCGACGACAUCCCUAUCGGAAGAUCAGCUCAGCUUUCCUCAUUUCAGUCUGGGGGUAAAACUCCAUACGUUUGGAUUAAAUGGGAGGAAAAGCAAGAGGCAGAUAAAAAUGUUUGCAGGUUCGGGUUGUAGACCUAAAAAGGUUUUAAAAGAUGUGUAGACCACAGCAGUCUGGUAAAUACAGAUCUUUAACAAGGUCCGCUUGUUGACACAGUGCAGCGGGCAGUUUAAAACGCCAUUUGGGAGGUACUUUAACCGUCCUACACGUGGAUACCACCCAGGUUGCCCACUUUAUUGGCUGGCAUCUAAGAGAGAGAUGGAUUCAAGAGGCCAUUUCUGGGGGCAGAACACUCUGGUACCCAGUGCUCAGAUUCUCACCACCAGUGGCCCCCAACCCCAUGACCUGAUGAGGCGGAUGCCCAAGAGUUAGUUUGAAGAAUGUCAUCACGCUCUUAGAUGAAGUAAGAAUGCCAGACAUAAUGUAUUAUCCAAAUGAGAACCAUCUGUUGUUUUUUUCAUAGAGCACCGUGAUGGAAGUUGGACUUUCCCGAGGAUACACACACCUUUCAUACUAAGCACCACCUUGUCCUCGGACUGUUCUUGUACUGGCCUUGUUUACAAAACAGAAUUUUUUGAAAGGAGAAAAAUGAAAUGUUCACUUAAGAAGUGAAAUAUGAAUAAAAUUACAGUCUCAAGCCAAGCCUAUAUUAUUUUUAAAAUCAGUGAAUAAAACAAGGGAAAUUAAAUCGCAACCUUUACCUGAACUAGUUCUUUUUUUUUAAAAAAAAAAUAGUAUUCCCGUAGUAGGAAAAUAAUUCAUCUGGCUUGACUGUGUUCAUUACCACAUAGCUGGCCUGUUGUCUCACACAGGCACCAAGAAGAUAUGAAGCUAAACCAACAGACCAUGAUUUGUUGGCUCUACCAAGUAUAAACUAGCCACUGGAAAAUCAAGUUGAAAACAUAGGACACAUCUAUGAAAGAAACAAGCCACAGCUUGCAGGAGAGAAAAUGUUUGCAGAAAAACUCCAGCAUUACAGGUUUAUCUAAGGUGUGGUCUCCAGUAAGCCUCAGUAAUUACCAGGAUACCACAGCUAGUGGCUGAAAAAUGUGCUUCACAGACUUAACCCUUUCACCCUAUCCCUAGACAAUUUCUUAGAGGAAAUUGCACUCCAGCCAGAUUUAGAUUAAACAAGAAGACUUGUUUUUAUUGUAACUGAAGUUGUUUUUAAACAUUGCUACUACGGUCUACUACAGAUAUUUCUUAACGGUGGCCUUUAGCUUGUUCUUGCUAUAAUGACAGAGGUUUGCCUUCAUUUUAUGCUGCAUCACAAUUGAGAAUCUUACACCACUUGGGGGCUUUGUGGUUGAGGGGUAAUAUGGUGUAGGAGGAAAAAGGAGCUAAAAAUUGCAUUCUGGUCUUGCCUCUGGCCUGAAGCAAACUUCUUCAUAACUUGGAUCUCCGUUUUCUUACCCUGUCCAUGGCAUGAUGUGGUCUCUGGGGAACCUUUGAGCUCUACCUCUCCGUUUUUCUAUUCUGGGAUUUCACCUGGGAAACACAGUAUAUUCAGAUGAUACGUCUCCUUAGGUUCAUUUGUUCUGUGACACUUUCUCAGACUUCCCAUAGCUUUUGAUGACCGUGACAGUUUCAAGAAGUAUUAAGCAGAUAUUUUGUAGAAAGUCCAAAAGUUUGUCUGAUGUUUCCUUGAAGUUAUACUGAAGUUAAUGUGCUUUGAAGAGGAAGACUUCAAAGUUAAAAAUGCCUUUCUCAUACACUGUCUCAAGGGUGCAUAAUAUCAACAUGACUUAUCACGAUAUUAACCUGGCUGAAGUAGUUGUUGACAGAUUUCUCCUCUGAGGUUACCCCAUUCCCUCCACCCCUUACAUGCUCUACUCUUUGGAAGUUCAUUACUAAGCACAUCCCAUAUUCAUGGUGUUUUGUGGGGAAAUAAGCUCUAUCUUUUCGAAGAGGGCAUAUCCACAUACAUGAUUUGGGAUUUUUCUAUAUCGUAGAUCUGUCUCCUCUCUCCCAUUCAUUUGUUUAUCCAACUGUCUAUAUCAGUAGGAACUCACUGAUAUUUAUUUAUACUUUGGGUUAUAAUCCAAAACUGUCAUUUAUUUUAGGACUCAAAUUGUUUCAUCUUUCACCAUUGGAAGCUCUUUCAAGUUGGUUCCUGUGUGCCACUGAUAUGCACCCUCCAUCGUUUGAUCAUUUAAGCAGUUCCUUAUUUUUUUGUCAUUAAAAGAUGCUCCUGGCUGGGCGCAGUGGCUCACGCCUAUAAUUUCAGCACUUUGAGAGGCUGAGGUGGGAGGAUUGCUUGAACCCCAGAAUUUGAGACCAGCCUGGGCAACACAGUGAGGCCUCAUGUCUACAAAAAUAGAAAAAUGAGGUGAAAGGAUCGCUUGAGCCCAGGAGGUCAAGGCUGCAAUGAGCUAUGAUGGCGCCACGGCACUCCAACCUGGGCAAUGGGAGUGAGACCCCGUCUCAAAAAAAAAAAAGAUGCUCCAGUUCCAGGCUUAUCUUUUAUAUUUCCUGCCCCAGCCUUAGAGUCAGUUAAGUUUUCAAGAAUUUUGUUGAAAACUUUUAUUGAUCCUUUUAUUGAAAAAUGGUAUUAGAAAUCAAGAUUGCUAAUAGUGUGUCAUUACUUCCAGGCCCUUUCAGGGGAGAGAAUUAGGAAGAGAGUGUGUGUGUGUGUGUGUGUGUGUGUGUGUGUGUCUACAGCAACCCAUGUAUAGGCACAUAGCACUAAUUUUGCUCUUUCAAACCAUCUGUGUCUCUAUAAGCUAAACAUGAGUUCACACUGAUGUCUCUGAAUCUAACCCAGUACCAUGUGGUUCACUCUAGACUUCCCUCCCGGCUUAUCUGUGACUUUCUGUGCCAGCUGGUAGAAAUUUAGUUCUCAUCAUGCACCAUCCAUUUGCUGAUUUGUUCAGUCGAAGUAUAUCUGUACAGCAGUUUCAUAAUUGCUGGCCUAUACCCCCAGGAGAGAAGUCACCAGCCAGAGUACAGUAAACACAGUACUGUUUUGUUUAGUCUUACGGUUUGCAGUCAAAACACACUUUUUCACAGCUUCCCCAGGGCCCCCACUGACUUAUUCACUUUUUAUUUUAAUUAUUAUUAUUAUUUUGAGACAGGGUCUUGCUCUGUCAGCCAGGCUGGAGCACAAUGGUGAGAUCAUGGCUCACUGCAGCCUCAGCUUCUGGGCUCAAGUGAUCCUCCUACCGCCACUCCCCAGUAGCUGGGACUAUAGGUGCACACCGUCGUGUCUGGCUAAUUUUUUGUAUGUUUUGUGGAACAGGGUUUUGCCAUGUUGCCCAGGCUCGUCUCAAACUCCUGGGCUCCAGCAAUCCACCCACCUCAGCCUUACAAAGUGCUGGGACUGCAGGCAUGAGCCACUGUGCCAGGCCACUUACUCAGUUUUAUUCAUUCCAGAGCACAGAACAAUACUUGGCAUAUAAAAAGCCUUUUAAAAAUAUUUGCUGAACGAGAAAAUAAUACAAAAAUUCAUGAAGGUACUCAUAUUUUUUUCUUCGUUACCUUAUAGUGAGAGUGACCGUGACAACUGAUACACAUUGCGGUCCAACCCCACAUUUCCUAUAUGCCUUCGCUGAUCUACUUUUGUCCAUUGAACUUACCUCAUCUACAUAUUAUCAUAUUGGGGGCAUGUGAGAACAAUAGUGAUUAUUCCAAUAGAGGCUGCCAUUUAUCCACUAAUAGUUCUUGCUACAAGAUUUAAUGAGAUAUUCAACUGCUGCAAUAUAUUUCGUGUAUUUAUUGCUCAUUUAAAAAAUUCUGCCUAUAUCAAAAUAUUUCCUGUGCCUUAUAAAUAUAUACACCU